rnacentral:rRNA from 1 species
ACGCAAUAGAUACCCAGGUAGUCCUGGCCGUAAACGAUGACCACCCAGGUGUGGGAGGUAUCGACCCCUUCUGUGCCAAAAAGGGAAACCCAUUAAGUGGUCCGCCUGGGGAGUACGGUCGCAAGAUUAAAACUCAAAGGAAUUGACGGGGACCCGCACAAGCAGCGGAGCGUGUGGUUUAAUUCGAUGCGACGCGAAGAACCUUACCAGGGUUUGACAUGCAGCUGCACCUCCUGGAGACAGGAGUCCCUUCGGGGCGGCUGCACAGGUGCUGCAUGGCUGUCGUCAGCUCGUGCCAUGAGGUGUUGGGUUAAGUCCCGCAACGAGCGCAACCCCUGUCGUCGGUUAAGCUGUCCGGCGAGACUGCCACGCUAAACGUGGAGGAAGGUGGGGAUGACGUCAAGUCAGCACAGCCCUUACGUCCUGGGCGACACACACGCUACAAUGGGCGAGACAACGGGUAGCCAACCCGCGAGGGGAGCCAAUCCUAGCAAACUCGCUCUCAGUUCGGAUGGCAGGCUGCAACCCGCCUG